GGCCCGCCCUUAUAGGCAAACUAGGCAACUGCCUAGGGCGCUCGUAUUUGGGGGGCGGCAUAGCAAUGCGAGCGGCAUCACCACUGAGCACGCGGAUCGAUCAAAAAUGGUUCAAUCAAUCGUACGUACGCGCGACAGACGUGCGGCGCGACGCGCAUCGCAACUCGCGGAGCGCGCCGCCGCCGUCCCGUUCCCCGCCGCACCCCACGCAUGCCAUCGCCGCCAGGCGCCAGUCGCCGCCGCGCCGCCCGCGCACUCUUAACUAUCUCAUGUGUUCUCCGUCAACUCUAUGCGCUAAGUGAAUUCCUCGGACUCUCAUUGUGAAUAAUAAUAAUUGCAAUCACCUACAGGCUACAAUCAUUUCUUGAGACAUGGCAGAUGACAAAAAA